GCGCGCCGGACGGGGCCCAAGCGGGGGUCGGAGCCUCAAGGCUGCGGCGGCGACGAGCUCCGAGCGGGACACUGAACGGCCCGUAUGCGCAAGAUAAGCACGGACUGAAUCAGGUACACGCACCUGCCGGGGACGCACUGACCGAGGUGCGGACGGCGGUACCAGGACAGGUAAAGCCGCGAACACUCGGACCUAAGAACUUGACAGGUACACCCUGCCUGAUGAAGCUACGUACGGCCAGGUGCGCAUCGAGUGAAUCAGCAUCGUAUUAACCAGAAGCUGCAUUUACCUGGACCAUACAUCAGCCCGAGCCUGUCUCCAGUGAAGAGUUGUGUCGUGCUGGAGGGACCAUUCAUCACACCUGCCCAGCUUCUGGAGGCUCUCCUGGGCUUUGGUGUCUUAGGUUAGAGCUGGGCAAAGAGGAAGCUGCUCAGGAUUGGAAGGUGGGAGAGAAGCAUCAGCCAUCACUCUCUGAGGUCGCCACAGUCAGAUGGAGUGACAGAUGAAGAGAUGCCUGGUGGGUCCCAGCUUGUCCUCGUUCUUCUCCCUUUGCCUCCAGCUCUUCUCCCUGGCUACCUACCCUGUUGGCCAAUGGCGGCUCAUGCUCAUCACCAGGCAUGUGGCUGCAGACACACGGAGGUGGGAGCCAUGCAGAGGCACCGGCUCUUCACAACCCUCUCUGCCAGCACCCGUUUCAGGGUCCUCCUUUGAUGUUGGGUGUGCUUGGCUUCUCCAAGUGACAGGUUAGUGCCUCCCCUGGGCCUCCAUCUGAUCUUCUGGACCUUUGCUUCCGCAGCUUCCCUCAAUUAUGCAAAUUCUAGGUCUGAUUCCUAGAAUAAAUACUGGAUCUCAAAGCACUCACAGGAUUCUGCUCCCCUGGCUGAACUCUGGUGGAAAUGAUGUCAUGUGACUUCGAAACUAGGCCUUAAGAGUCCUUGCAGUUUUCCCUGUCCUGAGGCCACAUCAUGCUGUGAAAAAACCCAACUUAGCAGAGGCUGAGAAGUUACACGGAGGAGAAUGGAAGAGCCCUGGUCAAUACACACAACUGUGAAAAAAAUAACUCACUGUAGACAUUUUUUUUAGGCUGAGAAAAUAUUUUUCUAUUAAUUGGUUGAUCUGUCAUUAUAUUCCAUUGCAUAGUCAGUGAUAAUAUACUAAGUAAAGUUUAGUGUAACCAUAUUAGAAUAAUCUAAAUUUGAAGAUAUUUAUUAGCUUUAUUAACUUAUACAAAAUAAAAUUCACUGCUUUUUUAUCGUGGUAAAA
rnacentral:lncRNA from 1 species